rnacentral:rRNA from 1 species
UACGUAGGGUGCGAGCGUUGAUCGGAAUUACUGGGCGUAAAGCGCGUGUAGGCGGCCCUGCAAGUCGGAUGUGAAAUCCCACGGCUCAACCGUGGAAGUGCAUUCGAAACUGCAGGGCUAGAGUCCUGGAGAGGAAGGUGGAAUGCUUGGUGUAGAGGUGAAAUUCGUAGAUAUCAAGCGGAACACCGGUGGCGAAGGCGGCCUUCUGGACAGUGACUGACGCUGAGACGCGAAAGCGUGGGGAGCAAACAGG